rnacentral:rRNA from 1 species
AUUGAACGCUGGCGGCAUGCUUUACACAUGCAAGUCGAACGGCAGCGCGGGCUUCGGCCUGGCGGCGAGUGGCGAACGGGUGAGUAAUACAUCGGAACGUGCCCAGUAGUGGGGGAUAGCCCGGCGAAAGCCGGAUUAAUACCGCAUACGACCUGAGGGUGAAAGCGGGGGAUCUUCGGACCUCGCGCUAUUGGAGCGGCCGAUGGCAGAUUAGCUAGUUGGUGGGGUAAAGGCCUACCAAGGCGACGAUCUGUAGCUGGUCUGAGAGGACGACCAGCCACACUGGGACUGAGACACGGCCCAGACUCCUACGGGAGGCAGCAGUGGGGAAUUUUGGACAAUGGGCGAAAGCCUGAUCCAGCAAUGCCGCGUGUGUGAUGAAGGCCUUCGGGUUGUAAAGCACUUUUGGCGGGAACGAAAAGGACUGUGCCAAUACCACGGUUCGAUGACGGUACCCGCAGAAUAAGCACCGGCUAACUACGUG